rnacentral:rRNA from 1 species
CAGCUUGCUGCUUCGCUGACGAGUGGCGGACGGGUGAGUAAUGUCUGGGAAACUGCCUGAUGGAGGGGGAUAACUACUGGAAACGGUAGCUAAUACCGCAUAACGUCGCAAGACCAAAGAGGGGGACCUUCGGGCCUCUUGCCAUCGGAUGUGCCCAGAUGGGAUUAGCUAGUAGGUGGGGUAACGGCUCACCUAGGCGACGAUCCCUAGCUGGUCUGAGAGGAUGACCAGCCACACUGGAACUGAGACACGGUCCAGACUCCUACGGGAGGCAGCAGUGGGGAAUAUUGCACAAUGGGCGCAAGCCUGAUGCAGCCAUGCCGCGUGUAUGAAGAAGGCCUUCGGGUUGUAAAGUACUUUCAGCGGGGAGGAA